GCCUGAAGAGAGUACAAUACAAGCUUCCCCUCAGAUAUCAGCACCGUUAACAAACUCAUAUCAAGAAGCUCCAAGCACAACACCAUUUGAUGUUAACGUUGUUCAAGCAUUUACAGAACCAAGCUUCAAUAGAAGUGAAAAUUCCACAUUUGCAGAAGAAAUAGUAGAAAGCCAGCAAGCAGCAGCACCACAAACAAAUAUCUCUGAAGGCACUUCAAGCACACCAACGCCUAGCGUUAACGUUGUCCAAGCAUUCACCGAACCACGCUUCACUAGCAUUGAGAACGCAGCGUCUGAAGAAAGUACAAUACAAGCUUCGCCUCAAAUAACAACGCCAUUAACAACG
rnacentral:misc_RNA from 1 species